UCCUGUAUUUUUUGGGUUAGUUCCCUGUAGGCCUGCAGACUGCAAAGUGAAAAAAUAAUUGUGGGUAAUCUGAAACAGCAGUAAUUUAUUAUUUUUUGUCAAAGAAUAAGUGUUUGAUUUGUUGACAAGAUGAACACAAGAGUUCAAGAUAUAUUGUAUCACAUUUCAAAACAUUUCCUCAACCUGCGAGCAAGCGUGCACAGAAUGUGGCACCAUUAACAGGAUGAAGCAACACCACACCACCUCGCUGUUGCAAAAUUGCUUGUGUUUUGCCGCCUAUCGCCUCUAAUUGAGACAUUCACCGCCACCACAGCCCAUUUGCAUGUGCCUUAACUGUACAGCCCGAAGGCUUUUUUAUGCAUAUAUGAUACUCCUUCAUUCCUUGCAAUAAACACCCUACGUGCUAAUGAAAGCCUGAGCCAAACUCUUACAGGCAUAGAUUGACCGGAGUAGAGGAUGAGCUAAAAGAUAGCUUGAUACCAUUCAACCCAAUUGUAGAAAAUACAUUUGACAUGAAAACAUGAUGUCUUCCAGUCAGAUAUAGCGGUUGGUGGGUCUGAUCGCUAGCUUGCUACGUGCUCUCUGUUUGAACAAGAUUUGGAUACGCCUCUUUGGGCGGUUACAGCACUAGGACACCAAGCUGCAAGUUGUUAUUGUUUUCGCUCUUUGUUACCAUAUGGUGUCCUCCCCGACACCAAACAUUUAAACAAGAUUAGGGGACCCAAACUGCGGUUAAAAAAAACACAGGUUUAUUCAGAGUGUUAACUCACUGAUCCGUAUGGAUUGAUUAUAUAUAAAUAUAAAAAUGCUCAAAAUCCUACAUAUUGUACUUUUAACUGAAGUGUAAUUAAAUGCAGUUAGCUCAUGACAUUUUGAACUCUGGAUACUGUACUGACCAACAUGAUAACAUGCGACUGCUAUUUCUUUUUAAUUUAUGUAUUUUUUUAUUUGUGCUAUUUGUUCUAUAAGUCAAUUUGUGCACUUCAACAACCUGUUAUAUCGCACUCAAUCUUCAGAUUGCAUUCUGGUAUACUUGUAAAUAAUAAAUGCAGAGCACUCUGUGGUUCUCUAACAACA